rnacentral:rRNA from 1 species
AUUGAACGCUGGCGGCAGGCCUAACACAUGCAAGUCGAGCGAGCGGCGGACGGGUGAGUAAUGUCUGGGAAAAUGGCUGAUGGAGGGGGAUAACUACUGGCAACGGUAGCUAAUACCGCAUAACCUCAGAUGUGCCCAGAUGGGAAUAGCUAGUAGGUGGGGUAACGGCUCACCUAGGCGACGAUCCCUAUCUGGUCUGUGAGGAUGACCAGCCACACUGGAACUGAGACACGGUCCAGACUCCUACGUGAGGCAGCAGUGGGGAAUAUUGCACAAUGGGCGCAAGCCUGAUGCAGCCAUGCCGCGUGUGUGAAGAAGGCCUUCGGGUUGUAAAGCACUUUCAGCGGGGAGGCGUUACCCGCAGAAGAAGCACCGGCUAACUCCGUGCCAGCCGCCGCGGUAAUUC